rnacentral:rRNA from 1 species
GGGACACGUGGUAUCCUGUCUGAAUAUGGGGGGACCAUCCUCCAAGGCUAAAUACUCCUGACUGACCGAUAGUGAACCAGUACCGUGAGGGAAAGGCGAAAAGAACCCCGGCGAGGGGAGUGAAAAAGAACCUGAAACCGUGUACGUACAAGCAGUGGGAGCACAGGUUUACCUGUGUGACUGCGUACCUUUUGUAUAAUGGGUCAGCGACUUAUAUUCUGUAGCAAGGUUAACCGAAUAGGGGAGCCGGAGGGAAACCGAGUCUUAAUUGGGCGUUAAGUUGCAGGGUAUAGACCCGAAACCCGGUGAUCUAGCCAUGGGCAGGUUGAAGGUUGGGUAACACUAACUGGAGGACCGAACCGACUAAUGUUGAAAAAUUAGCGGAUGACCUGUGGCUGGGGGUGAAAGGCCAAUCAAACCGGGAGAUAGCUGGUUCUCCCCGAAAGCUAUUUAGGUAGCGCCUCGUGAACUCAUCUCCGGGGGUAGAGCACUGUUUCGGCUAGGGGGCCAUCCCGGCUUACCAACCCGAUGCAAACUGCGAAUACCGGAGAAUGUUAUCACGGGAGACACACGGCGGGUGCUAACGUCCGUCGUGAAGAGGGAAACAACCCAGACCGCCAGCUAAGGUCCCAAAGUCAUGGUUAAGUGGGAAACGAUGUGGGAAGGCCCAGACAGCCAGGAUGUUGGCUUAGAAGCAGCCAUCAUUUAAAGAAAGCGUAAUAGCUCACUGGUCGAGUCGGCCUGCGCGGAAGAUGUAACGGGGCUAAACCAUGCACCGAAGCUGCGGCAGCGACGCUGAUGCGUUGUUGGGUAGGGGAGCGUUCUGUAAGCCUGCGAAGGUGGCCUGUGAGGGUUGCUGGAGGUAUCAGAAGUGCGAAUGCUGACAUAAGUAACGAUAAAGCGGGUGAAAAGCCCGCUCGCCGGAAGACCAAGGGUUCCUGUCCAACGUUAAUCGGGGCAGGGUGAGUCGACCCCUAAGGCGAGGCCGAAAGGCGUAGUCGAUGGGAAACGGGUUAAUAUUCCCGUACUUGGUGUUACUGCGAAGGGGGGACGGAGAAGGCUAUGUUGGCCGGGCGACGGUUGUCCCGGUUUAAGCGUGUAGGUGUGUGUUCCAGGUAAAUCCGGUUCACUUUAACACUGAGGCGUGAUGACGAGGCACUACGGUGCUGAAGCAACAAAUGCCCUGCUUCCAGGAAAAGCCUCUAAGCAUCAGGUAACACGAAAUCGUACCCCAAACCGACACAGGUGGUCAGGUAGAGAAUACCAAGGCGCUUGAGAGAACUCGGGUGAAGGAACUAGGCAAAAUGGUGCCGUAACU